CAAUAAAACUUUAUUUGGCCUGACCUGAUCAAGUUUAAUAAUGUUUAAUAGAUUUUUUAAAAACAUGAGUAGUUAUAACAAUACCUCUGUAAUAACAGUUAUAUAUGAACUCCUGGUCAAGGCCAGCAGCUUGUUCCUUUACCAAAAAAGUAAAGCCGCCCUCUGAGGACAAAAUGGCACAUGAGGAGUGGUGUACAUUUUUUUCUUAAAGAAAAAACAAAAAAUAACAAAACCCAAACACUUCCUAUUUACAUAUUCUCCAUUUAAAAAUUGGUCAGUGUGAGUAAUUGUUUUUAAAUAUAAGUUUCUAAUGUGUUGCAGGUUUCCAUGUACAAAGUAUAGUUUGCUGAUUAGCUUUAAGGUGCUGUGAUGUGAGGAUGAAUGCAGCCCAAGACCAAGACUGGGGGAAUCCUCUACCUACAGACUGGCUGGACUUCCUGUGGGUAUCUUUGGGAGUGUUGGGGGAAGAGAAGGAGCUGAACACCAGUGGCAGUGUUUCUGGGGACCAGAUAGGGGCUGUCAGUGUCCCCACCCCAUGCUUCUGCAGAGGGCCUGUGUCUACACACCAUUACCCCAUGCUGUGUGUGUGAGCACACAGGUUUGCAUUCACCAAACUCACUUUAGCCUACACUAUGAGGGGCAUUGCUACUUUGAGUCCCUUCCUUUGUCAUGAGGUCUCCAUGCUGGUGCCUGACCCCUAAGAGCCCUUGCUGUUGACAGCCCUCCUUUCAUACCUUCCUGGAUUCCUUGCCCCCAAGGUCACGUGCUCUCCAACACAUUUCUGUAGGGUCUGCUCUUUGUCAAGGCUACAUGGAUGAUCAAACUCAGGAAAGUAUCGAUGAGGGAUGGUGGGUUCCAUGUGAAACCUUCUCUCCUAACACAUUUUCUCUAUGGCAGAACCUCACUGCUGUCCUCCAAAUGAGCAGUUUGUGUAGAGAACAUUAGUCCCGAGGUAGGUCUGGAGAGGAGCUGUUGGGGGGUGGGGUGGGGGCGCAGGGUGUGGGGUGAAGGGGGAGUGCUGGCAGGGAGGUUGGAGGGAUUCUUGGAAUUGCUGCCUUCAACCUCACUGGGGUAGGACGCCCACGGGGGAACGAGGGCUGUCUUUGCGUGUGUCAGGAAAGUGCAUAGGGAGUGCUGAGGGGGUGUGCACAGGCCUGGGAGAAGGGCUGAUUUUACCCACAGACCCCAGACUGUUCUGACCUGAAAGGAAGAUUUCAGACCGUGCAGGGGUGAGGCAAAUACAGGGGUGCGACAGAUGAAAACAUUUAAGUACUUGGGGAGCCAGGAAAGUAUGCUUGGUGACUAGGAGAAACAAACUGGUUCAGUUUCCAGUUUCAGAAUACGAGAAACAUUGCUCUGAAUAAAAGAACAUCGAAUGGUAAUGGACAGGGAAGAAACAUCUCAGAUCAAGUUUCUAAGCAAAAAGCCAGAACGACCCCAACAGAGGAAGACAUUCUAUAAUGGACAGACCCUGGCCUGGGGGCCAGGAGACUGGGAUUUAAAGCUGGUCCUCACACUAAGCCUGUGAUCUUAAGAAGUAUCUCUUGGUCUCUGGGCCUAAUUGCCUUUCCUCAGCUGUCAGUUGAGGCUAGUUGGGCCAGGUGGUUUCGGAGCUACCUCUGCAAGAUUUCUCUGCAUCCUGUCACCCAGGUGGGGCCCGCAGACUGCUGUCUAAGGCUAUUUCUUCCCUGUGCACCACACGUGGUCUCCCCUUUGCUGGGAAAGUGAUCAACCCCCAAGCCAGGGUCCUGUUCAAACCCGCUCCUAGAGGUUAAAGGCUAGUUAUUAAGGCAGUUUAAGAAAUGGACAUUCCUCUCGCUCCUCGGAUCCUUCAC
ensembl:lncRNA